rnacentral:misc_RNA from 1 species
GAUGAAGAACGUAGUGAAAUGCGAUAAGUAGUGUGAAUUGCAGACUUUAGUGAAUCAUCGAAUCUUUGAACGCACAUUGCGCCCGCGAGUAUUCUCGCGGGCAUGCCUGUCCGAGCGUCAUUUCAACCCUCAGGGCCCGCCUGCUUCGGCAGGCGCGGCGCUGGUGUUGGGGAUCGGCCUAACCGCCGUCCCCCAAAUACAGUGGCGGUCUCGCUGCAGCCUCCCCUGCGUAGUAGCAACACUCGCAUGCGGAGCGCGGCGCGGCCACGCCGUAAAACCCCCGACUUUCUGAACGUUGACCUCGGAUCAGGUAGGAAUACCCGCUGAACUUAAGCAUAUCAAUAAGCGGAGGA